rnacentral:lncRNA from 1 species
UCUCAUGUGCUCACUCAUUACAGGCUUCCACACUGGGAAACUGAGCUGAACCUAAUUAGACCACAAAGAAAUAUGGUAUAAUUGGUCUGGGGCAGCUCAGUAAUACGUAAUGAGGAAGUUUAAUUGGCUUCUUCUUUGUUUUACUGGUUCUAGAAUUUCUCGUUUGCUUUGGAUAUUGGGCCAACUCCACCUCACCUUGCCAUGGGAAGCAGAUGAAUAAAAAGAUGAUGAUGAUGAUUAGUAAUUUGGUUAUGUCAUAUGCCAUACACAGUGAUGGCAGACAUUGCUGAGUUACGCAGUAAAAGAUGGGGAUUCCCGAUUCUUGGAUGCUGUCAGUAAUGGGAGUAUCAGGCUUAAGAGUAUCAUUUAAGAAAUUAUAUAAGAGAUAGCAUUAAAAAAUGUCACUGUUGCUUUGUAAUCUUUGUUUCUGUGUAAUGGAGUUAUAACCAAUGCCAAGAUCUCUAACCAUCAUAGCUAGAAAUUACAGAUACAUGUAGAAAUUAAAUUAGGACCUACCACCAAGGUGAACAUAUUUUUGGUUGAUAUAAACAGAGCAAGGAAGGUCAUGUAAAAUUCCUUCCUUCCUUCCUUCCUUCCUUCCUGCCUUCCUUCCUUCCUGCCUUCCUCCCUUCCUGCCUUCCUCCCCUCUUUCCAUCCAUUACAUUCUUCUGCCCCUGAAGUGGAAUAUUUGAAGAUUCAGAAGUAAACACUGUUACAAAUGAAUUCUCACUUCCAGUGAGGGCCUCUAACCAAGCACCUGGGGAAAUUCCUCAGCAUCCCAUCUUGAAAUCACCUUUUUAAAUGUUUUGCUUUAAUUUUCAGUCUCCUAUUACAACUUCUGCCUGGCUGCUUUGCUCCCUUUGACAGCCUAUCAGGAUCUCUCUGUGCUCAAGAAUCACAAGAGUACAGUAGGAUACAGUGAAUCAUCCCUGUGCUAAGUCUCCUUUUUAUUUCAAGGGGAAAAAGCCAAAAAGUUCAUGAUGUGUAGCUGGAGCAUCAUUUUCCAUCCUUUGUUCACACAGCUUGUAGAUAUGAAUGAAAGGCUCUGUAGCAGGAUAAACUUGGGCAUUUGUGGGUCACUACUACCAUUGCACUGUGUGUCAGGAGGUGACACAGCUUAGAGACCCUACAGGUUUUGGAGUCCAGGACAUCCCUCUGGCUGCCCUGGCUGUCUCAAAACCCUGGCAGGGGUCUCAGAGACCUUGGCAAGAAGUCAAAAACAUCUGUGGCUUCGAUUUUAGCCUGUGGAAAAAAAUGUCAAUUUUGUCUGAAGAAUUAGAAGCCACAAGGGUUUUAGUAGUGUGAUAUUUGAACUAACACAGGGUGAAAAAGUAGAAUUUUGGGAUUUUUAGGAUAUAAUUUAGGGGGUCAAGAUAGAGGAAUUUGGGUGUGUCCUAGCCCUCUUUUCCUACUUCUUGUCCUCAAUGUCUUGGUGUGAUGGUGGCACUUUUCUAUUGGUUUAAGGUAGAGAUUCACAGUCUAACAUAGGUGAUGGGAAUUGGUGAAGAAAUUGUAAACAGACUACACGUAACUUUUGAUAUAAAAGGAAAACACCACCCAAGAGGGCAGAGCAGACUGCCAUGGCUUCCUUUCUAGGCAGAGAUCAGCAGGUCAGAGAAAGAAUGUUUAGAUAAGAAGAAAUAAACAACCUUGAAAACGCAAUCAGAAGCAUUCCAGGCUCCUUCUUUGGCUGAGUCGGGCUAGGAAGCAAAGACUCUUUACGAUCUCAACCACCAGAAAUCGAUGUACAGGGUCUGGAUAUGUUUGUGUAGCUGCAGAGGUGCUUCCAUGCUGAGUGUAGCCAUCCCUCCAGGACUUGAACUCUGGAGGAGAAAGAAAGUACCUGUAGAGACAAACCAGAGAGCCCAGGGGACUCUGGCUGGUGCUGGCUGCACAACAUGAAAGCAGGAUCAAAGAAUCAUGGAAUGGUUUGGGCUGGAAGGGAUCUUAAAGGUCAUCUAGUUCCAACCCCUCUGCCGUGCACAGGAACACCUGCCACUAUCCCAGGUCACUCAGAGUCUCAUCCAGCCUGGUGCCGAACCCUUCCAGGGAUGGGUCAGCCACAGCUUCUCUGGGCAAUCUGUGCCAGGGCCUCACCACCCUCACCAUAAAGAAUUUCUUCCUAAUAUUUAAAAAAUAUUUAAAACCUAAUCUUCAGUUUAAGAAUAUCAUCCCUCAUCCUCACUAUUCACACCCUUGUGAAAAGUCCUUCUCCAAAUCUCUUGUAUCCCCUUCAGGCACUGGAAGGUGUUCUUGGGUCUCCCCAGAGCCUUUUCUUCUCCAGGCUGAACAACCCCAGCUCUCCAGGCCUGGAUCCAUAGUAGAGGUGUUCCAGCCCUGGGAUCAACGUAGAGUCCUUCUCUGGACUCAUUCCAAUAUUUUUCUUGUAUUGGGGGCCUGAGGUUUGGCCACAGUACUGCAAGAGGGGUCUCACAAGAGCAGGGUUCACUGAAAAAACCCCAGGAGUGAUUACUGCCAUCCUCUGCCUAACUGUGGCACUAACUUUGUGGUAUCCAUCUUGCUGUCACACUAGAUAAAGAAACAAAUCAAAGCAAAAAAUGAUUUCAUGGAGAAUGCUGAUGCACCAGAACAGCUCCUGGAAUUCCUGACCACCAGGCAGUGCUGACAGCAGCAGGAAGGAAAACACCAGGCAGGUCUGGGAUGUCCUCUGCCUUUUGUUUUCUGGCUUCAUGAUUCCACUGGGCUGUUUCUGACAUGCUCAGCAGCAACACCAAAUGCUGGGAAGCCUGUGCCAGGAUCCUCCAGUCCUGCACAUUCCGAGCACAGACUCAGCAAUUCUUCAAUCUGCAGGAUGGCUUUAGUGUUCGUUUUCUUUACAGGUAAGUUGGAUUCACUGCUGAGCCCAGAUUUACCUUAUCUUACUUUAAGCAUUUAAAAAUGAGCACAGCCACUUUCAGCUCCUAUUACAGUCAGUGGAAAAAGAUCUUGGGAUAGACUCUACUACCCUCUGGAGAUUCUUAUGUUUCCCAAGGGCUGCUGUGCUCAAAAUUUAGAGCCUCGGUUAGGUAGGGUGAGUCUAGACGGAUUUUCCCUUCACAAAGCUCCAAGAUAAAAACACUCUCUGGUGGGCUAUAAAGUUCCAUCAGGGCUGCUUCU